GAAGAAUCUUUGAAGAAACAACGCUCGAAUUUUGUAUUAAAGGUAUGUUAUCUGGGCUGUUGCUCAGAAGAUGAAGAGCUAUGCCCCAUGUCAAUGAUACAGCGGCACCAAUUGAAUCGUUCGAUAGUUGAGUAAUCAUAUCGUGUAGUGAAAUUAUGGUAUUGCCAGAGAGCAUAAAGAACGAAGGAUUGUCUUUAAAAGAAAGCACCUGUUUCUCUAAUGAAAUAAAGUUGAUGGAAAUAAUUAUGGCAACAUUUGUUAUCUCUUUGCACAUAGAAAACCCUGUGUCAAUAUCCAAAUGCAUAAACUCCUGAUCAUGCAAAUACCUAGUUUUUUUCAUACAAUUGAACCAGGAUAUAGCCAUUUCUGAAUUGCAAACCACUAGAGAAUAAGUCGACAAAAAGAUGACCCGCAAAAGUUGAAGCUGUAAGUUAAAAUGAAAAAAAUACCAUUGAGAGAUAGCUUCUUCGCCAUUAAAUGUUAAGGAAGCGGGCGCCGCUUGACUAGUCAUCUUGCUUAAAUAGUCGAUGAUACGGACGCAGAAAAUAGAAGGAGUAGUGCUUUGUGCAUUUUCUCCAGAUCGCUGAGCUGUUUGAAAAAUCGAUACGAUCAAUCGGGUAGCC